rnacentral:misc_RNA from 1 species
GUUCGAGCGUCAUUACAACCCUCAAGCUUAGCUUGGUAUUGGGCUCCGCUACUUAUCUAGCGGACCUUAAAAUCAGUGGCGGUGUCGUUGAGGCCCUGAGCGUAGUAAAUAUCCUCGCUAUAGGGCCCGGCGGUUACUAGCAUCAACACCAAUCUUUUUAGUUUGACCUCGGAUCAGGUAGGGAUACCCGCUGAACUUAA